rnacentral:tRNA from 1 species
CAAGACGUAGCUACAAUAAAGCAUUCAGCUUACACCUGAAAGAUAUCUGAAACAUAAACCAGAUCGCCUUGA